UGGAAAGACAUAAUAUUGGAAUUCAAAUUUCAAAUUUCACCUUGAAAAAUGAAAAACCACUUUCCAGUUUUCUAAAAAGUCACUUUCCAACUUUUUAUUGGGAAAAAUGAAAAGAAUGCAUCAUUAUUUAAAAAAUCACGUUUUAGGAGAGUUUCAAACCCUAAACUAUUCUUCUUAUUCUCUCUCUUCCCCCUCAAACCUCUUAGAUCCUCUCUACCGGAGAACCCUAGCGCCACCUUCACGCUCCGAUUCCCGCUGCAACAGACAUCAUCUUCCAAAAUUAAACCGAUCAAAGUGUCUCUCAUCAUCUCUACUUCAAAACCCCUCGAUCAAUUUUUGAUUCUGGUAAGUUACGUGGUUAUGGUGAGUGAAUCUGGUGACGCUGCUCCAGAUGUAAUUGAGUGUAGAUAUGGCCUCACCCCUCCCAUGAGAGACGCACGCAAAACUUUGAUCUUCUACUCUUCCUCUCUUCCUCUCUUUUCAUCUACUUUUUUUGAUUCAAUUUUGGUUUUUAUGGUUAGGUUAUAAUCUAAUUGAAUUUUUUGUUUGAUAGGAAUCGAAGAAGAGGAAUUGAAGCGUGUAUAGAAUUGGGAUACUUCUUCAUUGUUCCAGCAAACGCAAGGAAUCGAAGAAGAGGAAUUGAAGCGUGUAUAGAAUUGGGACACUUCUUCAUUGUUCCUGCAAACGCAAGAGGCCAUUCCAAAGAUUGGUUUGUCUCACUCAUUUGAUUGGUAGAAAUAAAGAUUAAGACGAACAUAGCUUUUGAAGAUACUGCACUGCAGGUGACUUUACUCUUGCAAAGCUGGAAUUGGAUGUCAAGAGAUUAUGGGAGGAGUUUAUAGCAGAUCUUCAUUGAAAACUCAAAUAAACCAGCUGAUUUUGUGUUUGUUAGAUAUUCAUGAAAUGAAAAAGGGUUUAAUAGAGGUUGAUAAUGCAAUAUAACUGUUUACACUGUGUCUAUACAUAUCUAAUAUUGUAUUGAAUGCUGCAAGCAAGAGUUUGUUUUGUAUA